GUAAUACGAGUGGUCCAAGCGUUAUCCGGAAUUAUUGGGCGUAAAGGAUGUGUAGGUGGUUAUAUUAGUCGAACGUCUAACCUCUGUGCUCAACAUGGAGACAGCGUUCGAAACGGUAUGACUAGAGUAGAGUAGGGGUAAGCGGAACUCAUAGUGUAGGGGUGAAAUCCGUUGAUAUUAUGGGGAACACCAAAAGCGAAGGCAGCUUACUGGACUCUUACUGACACUGAAACAUGAAAGCGUGGGUAGCGAAUGGGAUUAGAUACCCCAGUAGUCCACGCCCUAAACGAUGUUCUCUCGCUAUCGAAAGUAUCGACCCUUUCGGUGGCUUAGCUAACGCGGUAAGAGAACCGCCUGGGAAGUACGAUCGCAAGAUUAAAACUCAAAGGAAUAGACGGGGACCCGCACAAGCGGUGGAUUAUGUGGUUUAAUUCGAUGGUAAACGAAGAACCUCACCAGGAUUUGAAACCCAAGUGUAAGGCAUAGAAAUAUGUCCCUCGCAAGACUCAUAGGCAGGUGAUGCAUGGCCGUCGUCAGUUCGUGGUUUGAACUGUUCCCUUCAGUGGGGUAACGAACGCAACCCUUAUCGUGUGUUACAAGUGUCACACGAGACUGCCCCGUAAAAUGUAUUUGAAUAAUUUUUUAUUCGAAUAUAUCUUACGGGGAGGAAGGAGAGGAUGACGCCAGGUCAGCAUGUCCCUUUGACAUCCUGGGCUACACACAUAAUACAAUCGCACGAACAACGGGUCGCGACGGGGUAACCCUGAGCCAAUCCUUCAAACGUUGCGCCAGUUCAGAUUGUGGUCUGCAACUCGACCACAUGAAGCCGGAAUUGCUAGUAAUCGCGGGUCAGCGAAACCGCGGUGAAUACGUUCUCAGGUCUUGUACUCACUGCCCGUCAACUCAAGGGAGCUAGAAAUACCCGACGUCUGCCCAUGUGGCGGCCUAAGGUAAGUUUAGUGACAGGGAGUAAGUCGUAACAAGGCACGGCUAGCGGAAGCUGG
rnacentral:rRNA from 1 species